rnacentral:rRNA from 1 species
CGCGUAGGCGGCCAUCUAAGUCAGACGUGAAAUCCCCCGGCUUAACCUGGGAACUGCGUCUGAUACUGGGAGGCUCGAGUUUGGGAGAGGGAUGUGGAAUUCCAGGUGUAGCGGUGAAAUGCGUAGAUAUCUGGAGGAACACCGGUGGCGAAGGCGGCAUCCUGGACCAACACUGACGCUGAGGCGCGAAAGCUAGGGAGCAAACG